GCACUAUAAGUCCAGUGGUAGGAUUGUUGGUUGCCAACUAACAGGCCCGGGUUCGAUUCCCGGAUGGUGUA